rnacentral:other from 1 species
GUAUCCCUGCGGGGUGCGUGACGGGUCCACUUAAACCCACAUUAUAUUUAGGGGAUGCCGGAUACUUUUGCUGUCGAUUGCAGGCCUCCCGCCCACGGCUCUGACCGGUGGUGGACGUUGGAAGCAGAGAAGCAGCAAAGAGGCAACCCACCUGCCCGUUUUGUGCAGGUUAUAAUUGGAUCCGCACGGCUUCUGCGGGGAUACC